rnacentral:tRNA from 1 species
GCCUUCGUGGUGUAGUGGUCAGCACACUCGGCGCGUGUUUCGAGAGGUCGGUGGUUCGAGUCCCGGCGAGGGCA